rnacentral:lncRNA from 1 species
GGAAAAACAAGACUAAAAAUGGAUCUCCAAGGAUUUUCAGAGGGAAAAUGAAGUUCUGCCUACUGGAGCAUCCUGGUUCAGGAAAGGAAGGGAGUACAGGAGGGAAAUCAGAAACAAAUAUGCCUCCUGAUCCUCCCUGGAUGUACUGUGUUCUCAGAAGAAUCCAGGAUUUGAAUUUACUUGCAGAGUUUUCUAGAAUCUUUCAAAAGACUCAAUUCAGGUACCAGCUUAACAAAAUGAUGUUGCCGAUUCUGUAAAAACCCAAGAGUGCUGGAGGUCUCCUUUUCAAUAAAUGUGAGUUCCUAGCCA